rnacentral:lncRNA from 1 species
UUGGACGAUUCAUGGACACAUAAGAACAUGAAUGAAAAGAAAGCCCAUCCUAAUAAAUUCAUUAUUAAGUCAAUUAUAAACUUAUAUCCCAGAACAAAAUAAUGCGUCAGCCAAAUUGGCUUCUAGGGCAUACUUCUAACAAUCUCCCACUUGCACUAAAGCCAAUCAACCAUAAAUCUAAGCCCCAUCCUCUCAAGAUG